ensembl:processed_transcript
UUCCUGUAAGGGCAAUCGGACCCUUUCCGGUGAGGGAACCUUUCUCCAGACAUGAUCAAUGAAACUGGCGAGGGACUGACAUGAUCUAGCUUACCUUCUUGGGUCACCGAACGGAUUGGGCAUGUGACAUAAUUAUCCCAGCGAUCACUAAAACUGUAAAUUUGGAUGCAAUUAAGAGAGAAAACUCCACACAUUUAUGGAAACUUAAGAUUUGCAGCUUGCUGGCUUGCUGAGUUGAAAAUGAUUCUUUCCUAGUUCUCCUUGGUUUCUUCCUUUCCUGAAUUGAUUAACACUGAGAGAUUAUGUUUUAAUUAUGUCGACUAGAGGUUUUAAAUGAUUCUAGUUUUCCGUGUCCAUUUGUUUUCCUAGGUUUGGGGAAUUUCCUACUGUAAUAUCAUUGUGUAGAUAUUCUUUUCUUUAGUGAGAAACUCAGCUCCUUCUACUCUGUGGUUCUUAGCUUUAGUCUGUUGUACACAUCACAGAGUUAAUGAAAGCCGUGGUCAUACUUGAUUUUUUCUUCAUUACUACUGAAAUAAAGCAUAUCCUUG